rnacentral:rRNA from 1 species
AAACCAACUGGGAUUACCUUAGUAACGGCGAGUGAAGCGGUAAAAGCUCAAAUUUGAAAUCUGGUACUUUCAGUGCCCGAGUUGUAAUUUGUAGAAUUUGUCUUUGAUUAGGUCCUUGUCUAUGUUCCUUGGAACAGGACGUCAUAGAGGGUGAGAAUCCCGUUUGGCGAGGAUACCUUUUCUCUGUAAGACUUUUUCGAAGAGUCGAGUUGUUUGGGAAUGCAGCUCAAAGUGGGUGGUAAAUUCCAUCUAAAGCUAAAUAUUGGCGAGAGACCGAUAGCGAACAAGUACAGUGAUGGAAAGAUGAAAAGAACUUUGAAAAGAGAGUGAAAAAGUACGUGAAAUUGUUGAAAGGGAAGGGCAUUUGAUCAGACAUGGUUGUUUUUUAAUGUGCAAGUCUCUCGUGGACAUGUGCCUCUGGUAAAUUAACACGUGGGCCAACAUCAGUUCUGGCGGCAGGAUAAAUCAUUAAGAAUGUAGCUACCUCGGUAGUGUUAUAGUCUUUUUGGAAUACUG